GUGUCAGCAGCCGCGGUAAUACGUAGGGUGCGAGCGUUAAUCGGAAUUACUGGGCGUAAAGCGUGCGCAGGCGGCGCGUUAAGACAGGUGUGAAAGCCCCGAGCUUAACUUGGGAAUUGCGCUUGUGACUGGCGUGCUGGAGUGUGGCAGAGGGAGGUGGAAUUCCACGUGUAGCAGUGAAAUGCGUAGAGAUGUGGAGGAACACCGAUGGCGAAGGCAGCCUCCUGGGCCAGCACUGACGCUCAUGCACGAAAGCGUGGGGAGCAAACAGGAUUAGAAACCCUCGUAGUCC
rnacentral:rRNA from 1 species